GGCGGGCGGGGUGAUCUCGAGGCAGGUGCUUGCGGCGGGGUGGCGGGCGGGAGCGCGUGCGAGGGGCACCGUUAGUGCCCGGGGCGGUUGGCUGUUGGCGGGGCGCGCAGGGAGGGGUGACGCCCUGCCCCCAGCUCCGCGUGCCGGUUGCUCGGCCGCAGCGCGGCUGCUCCUUGCGCCUGUCCGCUGCGCGGCCCGCCUCACCCCGACGAGACAGGCAGCGUGGUCACGCUCGAAGUGGAUCGUCAGAGCAACCGGUGCUUUCCGAGGAGCAGCAGUCACCAGAAUCCUGAAAAAUUGCAAGUAGAUUGCUGUUGACGUUGUGCUGGAAAGUUCCGGAGACCGUGAAGGGGGCUGCGGGAGGCUGACUGUUUCCAUCAGCAUCUCAGGUCUCCAAGAAACAUAUUUGAAAACCUGUUCUGCAUUGUGCUGUCGUCUGGACUGCUAAAGAUCUGGCCAGUCUCAGACUCGAGAUGGAAGCUUGGCGCAAUCUUUAAGGUGAUGGCAUGCAUUAAUAGCAAAUAUUGUCCAGUCUCAUGUUUUGUGAAAAACUUUGGGUGGAACUGUGGAGUAAUUCUGAUGUCAGGAUUAAAAAGCUAUUUGCAGUCUAAAAGAGCUGAAUAUGAUGACCAGGCAAUUCUACCUGACAAUCAGUUGGAAUUAUAUUAAUUAUAUUCAUAUUUUAUUAUUAUAUUCUUAAUUAUUUUAAGAAGUUGAAACAUAGUGAGGGGGAAAAAAGCAAGAUGAAUGUCAAAUAAAAAAUGAUUUAAGAAAGUGAAUUUUAAGUGUGCAAUCUGAUAGCAAAUGCAAUAUUAAAGUUCUUGUUUGCCUCUGGUGA